UUGCCUCCGGGGCGACCCUGCCUUCGGGCGGGGGCUCCGGGUGGACACUUCAAACUCUUGCGUAACUUUGCAGUCUGAGUAAACUUAAUUAAUAAAUUAAAACUUUUAACAACGGAUCUCUUGGUUCUGGCAUCGAUGAAGAACGCAGCGAAAUGCGAUAAGUAAUGUGAAUUGCAGAAUUCAGUGAAUCAUCGAAUCUUUGAACGCACAUUGCGCCCCCUGGUAUUCCGGGGGGCAUGCCUGUUCGAGCGUCAUUUCACCACUCAAGCCUCGCUUGGUAUUGGGCAACGCGGUCCGCCGCGUGCCUCAAAUCGACCGGCUGGGUCUUCUGUCCCCUAAGCGUUGUGGAAACUAUUCGCUAAAGGGUGUUCGGGAGGCUACGCCGUAAAACAACCCCAUUUCUAAGGUUGACCUCGGAUCAGGUAGGGAUACCCGCUGAACUUAAGCAUAUCAAUAA
rnacentral:rRNA from 1 species